GUUUUUGGCUGGGGCCAGGUUUGAACCCACCACCUCUGGUAUAUGGGGCCAGCGCCUUACUCCUUUGAGCCUUUUGAAAGCACAGGGUGUCACAAAAGUUGCCUCUGAAGUUGUCAUACAUAAGGAAACUGGAUUUCAACUCUUCAAGUUCUGAAUGAUAUUGACAGUGACAAUGGUCAUAAUUCUUAUUGGUCAAUCCUUCCUCCCAAAUUCUGGAAACACCAUUCUUCCCAUUUGCCCUUCAGGCCUAGAGUUGGUUAUGAAGUCUAAGCAUUGGCUUGAAAGGCAUAAACUAAAUGAAGAAAAGAGUCUAUGGAAGGUCAAUUGAAUACAAGAUGGAAUUUGGAAUGUCCAUAAAUACAUGAGACUUGAAAAGAGCAUGGAAUAUCUGAGCGACGAUGGCAGUAAGGGCUCCUUAAGAAGACAUGGAUUCCCGAUCAUGACACUAAUUGCUAUCUUGGUUCCAGAGCCAAUCAGAGCAAAUUGAAAAGGAGCUUAAGUCUAAUACCUUUCCUCUUUUUCAGUUGAUUUUCCCUCCCUCAGUCCCAGUGAGGUUAGGAGGGCACUUACUUUAAACCAUACAGUUAAUCAUAUUAGCUAACAUUAAGUAAGCACUCUGCUAAGAAAUCUAUAAUCCUAGCCUCACUUAAUCUUCAUGUAGUAAGUACUACUGUGAUAACAGUGAGGCAGAAGACUCGUUCAGUUUCUGACUCCACCACUUAUAACUAACCACAUAGGCAAGUUACUUAGCAAUCUGUGACUAUGCGUCCCCAUUUUUAAAAUGCAUAUAUCAGCAUUAACAACAAUAAUCAUCAUAAUAAUACAUUGGCAAGCCAUUUAACAUAUUAAUUCCAUCCGACAGAAACACAUUUCUAAAUGUCUGUUAGAUCCUUGACUAUUACACCCAUCUGGCAUUCCUAUCACUCCUUUUCCCAUGGAAAUAGACUCCACAAGAGGAAGAAAGAAAAGGAAAGGGGGAGGCCCUCCAUCAUCUCCAUCUUUGAUAGGGUUUGACCUUGAGUAGAUCAUUUCACAACAUCAUUGUGCCUCCACAAUAGGAGAAAAGGACAAAGAAAGGAAAGGCUUUCCUGUAUUAUGCCCAAAGCCCAGCCGACCUGGGUACAAACCACCCAGGAAAGUUCUUCACCUUCAUAAUGGGUCAAGCAGUGGUAAUAUAUUAUCUUAAAGAGGAGGUGGGCAUUGAUUUUGGAAGUAGUGAGUUAAAUAAGGCAGCUUGGUUGUGGACUCAGGAAUGCCCACUCACAGCCUUGCCUUUGGGCACCCCUGUGAUCCUCUGGCAUCCUCUGGAGGACAUGAAAAUGCUGGCUCAUAGCCUCAGGACCUUGUUCCUGACACAGAUUUCAUUCCACUUCCAAUAAAAUCAGUGAAGGUUCCCAGCUUUUCCCCACAUGCAUUACAAGCCCAUCAACCCCACAACAUGCAUCUGGGUAUAAGUCAUAGCAAAGAGUUUGGGAAUAGGUCAUAUUUUAAUUUUUCUUUCCAUACUGACAAAUGACAUGGGACUCCUUUGGGUGUACAUUUGACACCCUCAUGAAUACAAAAUGAAUUUAUUAUGAUUAGUGCUUUCACCUAGAAUACGACAUUAAUUCAUCAUGAUUGAUGGGCUACUUAAAAUAAAGUAGUAACCUUUUCCUAAGGUGGCUAGGUGACCCCACAUCCACUUCAUUAGUAAUAUUCCCUGAACUAUAUUUAUGUAAAUGAAAAAAGCUUUAUCCCUCACAGUUAAGCACAACUCUCAAUGUAACUACAUUUUAUACUAACCAAAAAGAAUUUUAUUUCAUUCCAGAAUAUUUGACAAUCUUUUAUUUCUACUUUUUAAAAAUGCUCACAAAUUAUCAUUAAAAAUAUAAAAUGAUCAAAUUUAAAUUAUAUUAAGAAGAGCUUUUUAUACCCCUUGUGUUUUGAAAAACUAUUAUUUAAUUCCAUGUGGAUAAACCAAUGAUGAGUCUUGCUCACAUGAUUAAA